AAUAUUAAUAACUCAUUCGUGGAUUCGUUAAGCAAGCAAACCGGUAGGUUAUUUUAUGUUAGUGAUGUACUUAUUUAGAAUGUUCAGUAAUAAUAAAGUAUGUAUUGGAUCAGUUAAUUUUAUUCCAUUAGAUUGAUUGUUUAUAGUUGUGACUAGAUGGAAUGUUACGGGAAACCAGUUACUUUCCAUCGAGUUGAUUAAUUAGAGGUUACUUUGGUGGGCAUACAAAGUGAAAUGAGUUCAGCCAUUAUUUAUGCUGUGAAAGCAAAGAGAUUGUUUUGAAAGGCUGCCCAAAAAAAAAAAAAAAAAAAAAAAAAAAAAAAAAAAAAAAACUUAGUUCAUGUGGUGCUAAAUGAUGUUGUUUGGAGUAGUGUGAAUAAUGUCGAAAGGGUUAGACUUUUCUUGAUGUCUUCCUUGAAAGUAUACCUGGAUUGCCUUCAGGCAGAGAUAUGAGAUUCACUAUUGAUUUGUUGCCAGGUAUAAAUUUAUGUUAAAGAUUGGUUCAUGAUGAGUUAAGGGAAUUGGAAAUUCAGUUGAAAGAAUUGGUUGAUAAAAGUUUUAUUCAACCUAGUACAACACUUUUGAGGAGCACCAGUUUGUUGGUGAGAAAGAAAAUGGACUUAGAGAUUGUUCAUUGAUUAUAGACAAUGGAAUUGGUAACGAUAGAGAACCGUUAUCCAUGAUAGUGUACUGAUGUUUAGUUGAUAAGCUCAGAGAUGUUUGGGUAAUUUCAAAGAUUGAUUGAGGUCUGGUUAUUACCAAUUGAAGAUUUUGAGCGACAUUGAUCAUAAGAUGGUUUUCUGGAUUUGUUAUGAUCUUUUAUGAGUUUGGUGAUGCUAUAUGGAUACUCAUGCUGUUUUAUGAGUUGAUGGGUGAAGUAUUCCAAUAAUGACUUGAUAAAGUGAUAUCAUUUUCAUUGAAGAUAUUCUGGCAUAUUCUGAGCCAGAGCAGAGCAUGUAAACGUAUUAAGUCGGUGGAACAAAGAUUGGAAGAAUGUCGAUUGUAUGCUAAGUUUAGCAAAUGCUAAAGUUAGAUGAAUCAGGUGGCAUUCUGAGAUUUGUCAUAUAUUCUUAAGGUAUUCAAGUGAAUCCUUAAAAGAUAGCAGAAAUUGAGAAUUUGGAACAACCACGAGUCGUAAUUGAGAUUUGGAAUUUCUUAGCUUACCAGGCUAUCUUGGAUGGUUGUGAAAGAUUUUUCAGUCAUUGCUUUGUCAUUGACGAGACUGUUGAGAAAAGAGGUUAUGUAUGAGUGGGAAGGAAAUUGUGAGCAAAGUAUUGAACAACUGAAGUAUUUCCUCACUCAUGCACGUAUUUUGGUAUUCCCAGAGGAUAGUGGUAAUCAUAAAUUUUUAGUGAUGUUUCUUGAAUGGUAUUGGAGGCAUGUUGAUGCAAAUGUUAGGGUGAUUGCAUACGUUUCACGAUAAAUGGAACCUUAUGAGAUGAAUUACCCUACGGGUGACUUGGAAGUCAUGAUUACCAUUCUUGCUGUGAAGUUAUGAAGGCAUUAUAUUUAGUAAGAAUGCAAGAUUUUUACGAAUCCAAAAAGUCUUCAAUAUCCAUUACUUGGAAGGAUUUUAUUAUGAGGCAGUGAAAGUGAAUUGUAUUGCUUAAUGAACAUGAUUGUACGAUCAGGGUGAUCGUAAAGUUUGUUCUAGCUGAAGCACUUGGUGAGAAGACUACAGUAAGAUUAAUGUCUGGCACGUUGCCAAGAGUAUCAUCUUGUGGAUUGAAAACCAACGGAAGAAAAGUUAAGAAUGAAAGAUCGAGAAGAAGUUAUACUUGUUAAAUUUCAAGUUAGGCCUGUUUGGUAAGGUCGUACUCGAAACUUAAAUGUUUGACGAGGAAUUUAAGAAUUAACCAAGGCAAGGAAAGAAAGGAAAAAGAAUGAGUACAUGAUUCGUGAAUCAAAUGGUAUGUGGAUACAAGAAAACAAAAAGUAUGUGCCUAAUGCUGAGGAUUUGAAGCAAGCAAAUAUUGGACGAAGUUCACUGUUCAACUUCUGCAAUAUUCCAAAAGUAAUAAGAUUUAUCAUACCAUUCGACAGUUUUAUUGGUCAGCAGAUUGAGGCAGAAAGAAAUAAACCUUUGGAUUGAGAUAACUAUUUUCUGUUUCGAAACGGAAAUGGAAAGAUAUUACUUUGGACUAUGUAUACAAGUUUCCCUGUAUACAAGAUGGUUACGGUCGAAUUUAAAGUAAUAGUUGGUUAACGUAACAAGUUAGUACAUUUACUCCAGUGUUGAGUAACAACCUUUCCCAGACAGUGCAACGGUACUUAUUUGUUUUAUGGAAAGAGAAUUGGAUUACGGAACUGCUGAGUUUCUUAAGUAUGUUGGUUUCGCCAGUUUUCAAAGUAACGCCAUAAUGUCCAUGAAACGUGUUAUAUGUGUCGAUUUUUGCUGAAUUGUGGAUGGAAUGCUUCUGGGUAGAGAAAGAUUCGAUCACAAAAGAGUUUUAGUAGACCCUGAGACUAUGGAUGAGUCUCCUCAAAGUAUUCAUGUGAUUAAGUUAACCUGAAGUAACCAGGAAUGGCAAAAGAGAUCAACAGAUGGAUAUGCCACUAAUCGAGUAUAUAAGGUAAAUGGUUUUAUAUUUUCGAAGUGUUCACCAUAGAAAAGUUUAAUUCGGGUUGGAAAGGAAGGCAAGUUAAAUCCUAAAUGAAUCGGACUUAGCGUGAUCAUCGAAAGGUUGGUGAAGUUGAUUAUAGAAUUGAAUGGCUUCCAGAGUUGUUGUAAGUGCAUGAUGUGUUUCAUGAGUCGAUAUUUUGGAAAAUUCACCACGAACAAAAAUGGCGAGAAUUGGAAAGGAGACACAUCAGACCAUUUUUGAUCACUAAAGGAAUCAAUAAAGUUGCAUACAAGUUUGUGAUGCCUUCAAAAUUGGCUAAGGUGCAUAAGGUAUUAUAUUUCGAUGCGUUGUCACUAGGUGGCAGAUUCGUCACAUGGGAUUCUGGUGUAACUAUUGAGAAUUAAACUGGAUCUAAUUAGUGAGGAGCUAAUGACGACUUUGGAUUGGAAAAAGAAGGUCCUGAGAAUUAAGACAGAGUAAGUGGUAAAAGUUUUGUGAAGAAAAUCAUUCAGUAGAAAAUUAUGUGGGAGAAAGAGAAUCGGAUGAGAAAGAUUUACCCGAAUCUAUUGUUGGAGUAUAGUUGAUUUAGUUGGUUGCUGGAAUUUCGGGGACGAAAUUCUAUAAGGAGGGAAGAUUGUCACAGCCCGUCCCGGAAUUAUUAAUUCCGAGGACGUGAAAUGACCAAUGUGACCUUAAACGGGAUUAAGGUGUGUAAAGGUACGACAUUUGUCUUACUUUAAGAUCCUAAACUAGGGUUAGAUUUGUAUGUGUAUGUGUAUGUGUUAAUAUUAUAUGGGUUAAGGUAGGGCCUUAUACCCUGAAAUCCUUCCCCAAAACCCGUUUUGUUGUCUCUCUCUCUUAUCCUUCUCAGUAACCUUUCUUCUCUCUUAUUCUAUCAUUUCAGACUCUCUCUCAUUCUCUCUCUUACUCUCGAACUCACGGCAAACACCAAGAACAACCACAAUCCUACACCAACGUCCAAUCUAAGAUCACCAUCGUGAUCCUGAGGACUUCACGAACACGGGGAUACCAGUUUAAGGUGAGUUUCACUUCGGAAAACCCUAGUUUCAGUGUCACCGUAAUAUUGCACUGUUCACGAACUUCAAAUUGGCUUUGUUUUAGGCCAAAAUAAGAUCAUAGUGAGCUUAAGGAAGUUCCAAGGAUGCUCGGAGUGUAACGUUUGGAAGUUUUGGACGUCGGGAUCGUUGAGUUCGACGUUUGGCCGAUUUUUGGAAUUUUUGGAAGGUAUGAUCCCGUGGUUUUUAGUGUUUAAAACCCUUCCAUCGUGAUUGUACAUGUUAAAUGCUUCAAUUUGGUAUAAAUUACAUGAAAAAUGGACGAAAAACGAAGGAGAAUAGUGGUUUUGAAAAAUUACCCAGUUUCCGGCGCCGGCGACGGUCGCCGGAGCUGAAGGUUGAAGGUGAUGGAAUAUUCCGUCAAGUUUGACGGAAUAUUCUGACGCCGUUAGUCAGUUUUAACGGAAACCGUUAGUUUUUAACGGAAUAUUCCGGGAAUAUUCCUAUCGUCGUUCACUGUAGCCGUCAGUGUGCAUGUCACGUGGCCGCGCGUGGGGGGCGCGUGAGAGCUCCAAAAAUUAUUUUAAAAAUAUGGGGAUGAUCCUGAGGUUGUGUAGGUCACAGUGGUAUAUUCAUAUACCCAAUUUGAGCAAUAUAUGAGGAGUUAUUAGCUAAGAGUGGGAUUAUGCGUUAAAUAACGUUAAUUUGGUUACUUCUCGUAUAGGCGAGGAUUAUACGGACGUCGGGCAUGGCCAAGGGAUGCUCAGGGACUUACGAGACGUCGAUGUAAUCUGUGAGUGGGCAGUUUUGUUUUCCGUAUAUAUAUAUACUUGACGUUUCCCAGAAAUUGAAUUGAAAUGAAAAUAUGUUUAAAAUGAAAUGCAUAUGAAUUAUGUGGAAAAAACAGGAAGUGAAAUACCAUGCAUAGAAUUGAUAUGAAAAAGUAUAUAGAAAUGUGAGUUGAAAUGCCAUGCAUGAAUUAAUAUAUGAUGCAUAUGUAUGAAUUGGUGCGGUGGACGCACAGGUAUGAAUUAAUAUAUGAUGCAUAUGUAUGAAAUGGUGCGGUGGACGCACAGGUGAGUAUUUAUUUCUGUUAUGAUGAUGUUGAUGUAUAUUGAGCUCAAAUCCUGCACCAUAGUUUAGUGCUUAUAGUAUUCACCGCAUCGCACGCUCGCCUUGGAUCCAAGUAGAUGCUAGUCGUACAGUCCACGUAGAGUGGGUACGACAGGCCAGUCGCGAGAGUGUUAGUGAGAUUCCGACUGGUGGGGGUGACCUUAAAUUAUGUGCACAGAUGAUUUAUGAGAAGCACUAGAGCGUAACUUAGGUGCAGAAGGCCGUACAGGUCACGCGGAGUGACUCCGGCAGAGAGUGAGAGUGAUAGAUUUUGAGCUCUAGGUUCAACCGUACAGGGCUAUUAGAGGGCCUCCGGUUGAUUACUUUAUUGCACCUGAUAUGAUUUAUGUUGAUGCAUUCAUACCUUAUUACUGUUGAGAUGAUGUGGCAUGGCAUAAUUAAUAUGAGAAAAUGUUGAGUUAAUGAAUUGAAGUAUUGAGAAUAUAUAUAUAUGUAUAUUUAUAUUUUAUAUUUCUGGGAAAGUAUACAGGUUUUACGGAGAGGGGUUACAACGUUUUGAGAAAUGUUUGGAUUUGGAAAAGAAUUGUUUUACUGACCCACUCAAUUUUGGUUUUGCGCCCCUCCAGGUUCAGGAAUCACAAAGGUGUGGUGACUACGAGGAAUUUGACGGUGUUCUGACAGAUUGGACAAAAUUAGGACUCACCUUCGGGUGUAUCAACUUAUAAAUUGUAUCUUAAAGCUUCCGUACUGUGUAAAUGGUUACGUCACUCUCACGUGACGGCCAGCAUGCCCUCCUUCGGGACGGGGUUUGUCAAUCAUACCCAUUCAUUUGAGGUUUAAUUUUUUUGAAAAGUUUGCAAGAUUUUUUAUUUAUGAAUCCUAGCAUAACCUUUUUCAAAAGAGAUAUUACAAUAACUGACCAAAGUAAUACGGUAGAAGCAUACAAAAGCAUAAGUAUAGAAGAGUUUAGUGGCCAAGAUAGUUAUUAUUUAGAAAACUCAAAAGAAAAUGAUGAGCAUAGAGAGUUUGAUGAAGAAAUAUUUGAACAUGAAUAUCCAAUUAUAGAAGAAAGAAAUUGUAUAGAAAUAUUACAGUUAGAUAGACCAAAGAGUUUAGAAGAAUUAUUACAAUUAGCAGAACAAACUAGAAUUAUAGGAGAAGACCCAUAAUUGCAUUGGAGUAAAAAUAAAAUAUUAGCAAAAUUAGAUAUAAUUAAUCCAGAUUUAACCAUUAAGACAACUGAUAUGCCUUGUAGUUUAUUAGAUAAAUAAGAGUUUGAGCAGCAAAUAAAAGAGUUAUUAAAUUUAAAAGUAAUUAGACCAUCUAAGUCUAGACAUAGAUCAUCAGCAUUUAUUGUGAGAAAACAUUCAGAGCUUAAGAGAGGUAAGGCUAGAAUAGUUUAUAAUUAUAAGAGAUUAAAUGAUAAUACAUAUGAAAAUAGCUAUAAGUUACCAAAUAAGUAUGAGCUUAUAAAUAAAAUUCAAAAGAGUAAAUAUUUUAGUAAAUUUGAUUGUAAAUCAGGAUUUUAGCAAAUACAAUUAGUAGAAGAAUUAAUUGAGUGGACAACUUUUACUUGUCCAGAAGGACAUUGUGGGUGGCUUGUUAUGCCAUUUGGACUUAAAAAUACUCCAUCGAUCUUUCAAAGAAAGAUGGACCAAAUUUUCAAGAAAUAUGAUAAUUUUUGUAUUGUUUAUGUAGAUGAUAUCUUAGUACAUAGUAAAAAUAGAAAUGAACACAUGAAACACUUAGAGAUAGUUUUGCAAGAAUUUAUCAAUAAUGGAAUUGUGAUUAGCAAAAAGAAUUUUGAGGAAUGUAUAUCAAGUUAGGUACGAUACAAUUAUAAGAUCAUAUAGCUAAAAAGGUCUUACAAUUUCCAGAUAAGUUAGAAGACAAAAAACAGUUACAAGCAUUUUUAUGAUUGUUAAAUUAUGCAAGGAAUUUUAUCCCUGAUUUAGGAAGGAAAAUAGUAGUAUUACAUAGUAAAACUAGCAAAUUAGGACAAAAAUAUUUUAAUAGUGAAGAUAUAAAAUUAGUUCAAAAUAUAAAGCAAGAAAUUACUAAACUUAAGUCAUUAACCUUAUCAUUAGAUAAUAGUUACAAAAUAGUUGAAAUAGAUUCUUCAUCAUUAGGAUUGGCAGGUAUACUAUACCAGAAAAAGCAUAAGGAGUCACCAAAGUCUGACGAAUAAGUUUGUAGACAUUCAUUAGGAAAAUUUAGUGAUGUACAGUCAAAAUUACCAUCAACAGAUUUAUAAAUUUUAGGGAUAAUUAAUUCACUUGAAGCAUUUUCUUUAUUUUUACAUAAUGAAGUAUUUACGAUUAAAACAGAUUGUCAAAAUAUAGUUUCUCAUUAUAACAAGAUACAUGCUAAUAAACAGACAGCUCGAAGAUGAGUUAAUUUUGUUGAUUUAAUUACAGGAAAUGGUUUUAAACCAAUUUUUGAACAUACAAAAGGUAAUGACAACACAUUAGCUGAUAUCUUAUCAAGAUUAAUUUGUUGAAUAGGAAUGGAAUAUCGUGUACCAUCAUCCUUAAAUAGCACCAUACCACAAGGCAGAAAAGCACAUUUCAAUAGCGUAAUGAUGCAUCAUGGACCUCCACCAUUCAAUGGAUUUCAAAAUAGCAUAAGCAAACCAACAUCACCACUAGUACCUACUUUCAACUUUAAUGGUAAUAUUGUUGAAUGAAUCAGAAAUCGUACCCUAAGAUAUAGGUCAAGAGUACUAGGACUUUCUGAUAGGCAACAUGUUCUCUUAGAUAAUUUUUGGAAUAUCUAAAUUAAACGGCCAAGCAUGACGUUUGGUCAUGAAAAAUUAAUUAGAGCAUUAGAAUAAGAGUUUGAUAGCUUUAAUUUUAAUUUCCUUCAAAGUCAGCAUCAUAUUCAUUCUCUUGAGCACAACCUCCAAGUCAUCUCUAGGGACCAUGAGUCAUUACUUAGUAAGUUUACCAAAAUGAACCAAGACCUACAAUCUCUUAGAAUGCAGCAGAAGACAAGCGACACCCUGAAAAGAGAAUUGAACAUAUGUUUGGAAACUGAUCAGCAUAAGAAUAAAGGAAAAUAGGUUAUUGAACCCAUAGAACAAGAGGGUAGUGAGCCCAUAAAAGAAAUUAAGAUUGAGCUCUUAGAUGAAGACAUUGAAAUGGAGCAGCAUCAGCAACUGAAUGACAAAGAAAAACAAGAAAAAUAUGAAAGUUUUCUUAGGAAUAUAUCCUUGGACUUAAUGAUAGAUGAUAUUUUAUUAGAAGAAAUUUCAAAAGCAAAAUUAAGAAUAAUGUCACCAGAUAUGCAAAAUGAGAUCCUCAGCAGAACAUUACAGUCCAUGAAAGAGUUACAAUUACAAUUACAAUGUUCUUUAUAUCAUUCCAUCUUUGAUUCAAAACCAGGGAUGGAUAUUAUUACAAAUAUGUAUCCACCAUGUCUUUGUGAUUGUACAGAGAAUUGUAUUUGUAAGCUGGAGGUUAGCAUAGUUAUAGCCAGGAUAAACAUGAGAGAUUAUAGACCAUGACAUUUAGUUAUGAGCAUUAGGAAAAGCAUAAUGUGGUAGAAGUUACCCCAGUUUUACUAUUAGAGUUUGGCUAUAAAAUAUUCAUUAACCAUAUUUCUCAACUAGAAUUAUUUCCUGAAACUCUUAUAAAAGUAGCAAAAGAUUAUCUAGAAAAGUGGAAAGAAAUUUGCAUAAAUUUUAUUAGUAGUCCUCCAGAUUGGUAUGUACAUAUGCAUAAGGAGAAAGCUAGGCACAUAGCCAUGAUUAAUGAAGAGUCAUUUAGACUAUCCCCUAUCUCCUCACAUAGGUGGACUUCUUCAUAUAAAAAUAUUCUAAAAUUUCGAGGGAUCCAAAUGUUUGCCUUAGAUGAAUUUGAAGAUUUUAGGUAUGAUAUGAUAUUAGUAGCAGAAGAAGAAGAAAUGCAUAUUUACAGCAAGUCAAAAGCCCAAAAUCAGCCAUAUUGGAAGCCUCAAAAUUUCAAAGAAGAAACAGCAAGAAUGUACUACAAAGUAAAAGAAGAUAGAGAAAAAGAAGCAGAACUAGUAGAAGACGAUGAACAGUACUGGAAUAAUUUGACAGAAGAAGAGCUGUAUAACAUUGACAACAUGAUGGAAACAUGAGAAGCUGGCAGCAAAUUAGCAUAAGUUGUGUUGAUGCACAAAAUCAGCGAGGACUUUGGUACAACAGAAAAUGUUAAGUUUAUGACCUUUGCUAGAUUGCUCCGGUUACUAGUGUGGAUAAGUAUGUAAAUGGAUAGAGACAGGGAAGCAAACACAAGAUGUACGUGGUUCACCCAGAUUGGCUACAUCCACGGAGUAUAGUAGUUCUCAUUAAUUGUGAAGGGUUUACACAAGUACAUAGGUUCAAGCUCUCAUUUAGUGAGUACAAGUGAAUGAUUUAGUACAAAUGACAUUAGGAAAUAUUGUGAGAGAAUGAUCUCUAUUUAUAGAAGAGAGUUUCUAGUUUCAUUCUGACAUUGACAUGUGUCGUGUUGUGAUUGGCUUCUGAUGUUAACACGUGUCGCUCUAUGAUUGGCUUUUGAUGUCGACACGUGUCGCUCUGUAAUUGGCCUCCUGGUUGGAGGGAAACUCUUCUGGGUCCUUGACGGUAUAACGUUGACUGGUGCUCAGUAGUUUCGAGAUUGGUCAAGUAUGGUACAAACAGUGCUCCCCUAAGUUCCAGAAUGAGGGAAGCUCAUUGGUUGGGGACUUGCAAGAUCCAAGCCAUUGAGUAAUCAUGAAACUUCUAAGUACCGAAGUGUGGUAUCAUUUUCACUUGCCUUAUAUGUCUCAUACUUAGAUGUGACAUCUUCUCUGGAAGUACUUUUUUCUCCAUCCAGGGGUGGGAUCUUUAACCGAUGAAGAUGCACAAGGUAAUGUAUCAAUUUCACUUGAAACUUACUUGUAGUUUCAGGCUUGGUUAAGUGCGAUACAAAACCCUAUAGUAGGAGUCCCCCAAGUCGCCGAGUUAGGAGAUUUGCCGAAAGAGGUAACAGAUAAGGUAAGCAAUCAAAUUUCCAAGCAAGCAACCUGGAUCGGAGGUUCGACUUCGGCUUUCGAUUGAUUGUUUUCCUUCUCCCUCUGUCGUAAAUAGCAACAAGGAUAAGGAGAAGCAAAUGGAGAAGAGAUGAUAUUAGAUACUUUUGCUUUUGAAGAAGUAACUUUCCACAGACUUAUUCUUAGGGCUGGAGGGUUUUCUGGUUUCCUCCAGAGUAUAAGGCCGACUCAAGAAUUUGAGGGUCAAACAAGUCCAUCAAAUCAAGAGUGCGUUCGACCUUGAUGAUAUGAGAUACUUUUGCUGUUGACUAAGUAAUAGAUGAAUCAGCAUGUGUUAUGUUGCGCUUGUCUCCACAUGCUUCCUUGUAUCUUUUUCACUUGCCCUAUUUAUUCCUCAGGCAGAUGUGGUAUCUUUUCUAAAAGCAUAAGAUGUUGAAGAUGAGUACUCGAGAGCAAUGCUAGGUAAGUAAUCAGGCAAGGGGUUCAAGGCAAUCAGUUCCUGACUGGAAGCUUGAUUCCAAGUGGUGACUGAUUGCUCUCUUUCUUCUUGUCUUGCAGGAAAGAACAAGGGCAAAGGAAAAGACCGGGAAAAAGCAUGAUAUGGGAUACUCAUGCUUUUGACCCUGAUGAUAUGAGAUACUCUUGCUCUGGUGUGGCUGGUUUGCAUAGGUAUUAUUGGGGGGAAGAAAGCUGAGUAUUUCGAAGGCUUCGUUGGGAGUUCCCUCUCAGAUAUGAGGAAGGGUUGAGCAUUUUUGCAGGUCUGCCUGUCUGUGGAGGAUGGAGGUUGACAUAUAUAGGAGUUUCCCUAACAACAAGUAGUAAUACUAUUCCUUUACCCUUCUUGAUCAUAGCAAUGUAGUGGGAGCUACAAGCUUCACGUGUUUUAACUUUGUCAGAGCACUUUGAAAAAGUGGUAUGUGGUAUCUGGAAAGCUGAUGUUGCGUGUGAAGAUUGCAGACAAGCUUUAUCCAAGGAUCUGGCUCUCGAAGUUCGGAGAGCAAUGCUUCUUUAGUUUUCGAACAAGCAAUCCUGUCGGGGAUCUGUCUCUCGAGAUUUGGAGAGCGGUGCCUCUUUGAUUUUUGAGAAAGCAACCAUGUUGGGAGUCUGGCUCUUGAGAUUCGGAGCGGUUGAUUUUUGAGAAAGUAAUCAUGUUGGGAGUCUGGCUCUCGAGAUUUGGAGAGUGGUUCCUCUUCGAUUUUUGAGCAAGCAAUCUUGUUGGGAGUGUUUUCUCGAAUGUGAGUAAAGGUUGGGCAUUUUUGCCAGUCUGCCUUGCCACGGAGUACGGAGGUUGACACACAUUAGGACUUUCUAGUUAUCAAGCAGUGGUGCUGUUCUUUUACCCUUGUGGGUAAUAGUAGGGUAGCUGGACCUUCAAAAUUUAUGUGUCUAAACUUUGUCAGAGAUCUUUGGUAAAGUUAUCUGUGGUACCCGAUGAGCUAAUGUUGCGUGUGGAAAGUGGUGCCUCUUCGAAAUCGAGAGAGUGGUGCCUCUUCGGAAUCCGAAGAGUGGUGCCUCUUCGAUUUUUGAACCAACCUCCCUGUUGCCCUUUCUUUUAUCAGGGCACCAAUUUUGUGUAAGGAGUACAUUCAGAGAGUUAUUGCUUGUAGGAAUUUUCCCAUUACUUCAGAGAUUUAUUGCACCUCAAUUCUCCUUCAUCAUUUAUGAAAAUGUUUGGCCCAUCCGACCGUCGUUUCGACUUGAACUUUGGUGAAGAGGCAGCCAUGCCUUUUCAAGACAACAUAUGGCGCCCAUCCUUCUUAUCCCCUACUGGUCCUCUUACCGUUGGUGACUUUGUGAUGAAGAAUGAUAUGACCGCUGCGGUGGUGGCCAUGAACCUUCUCACUCCCAAAGAUAAUAGACUACUUUCCAAACGGUCUGAUGAGUUAGCUGUUAAGGAUUCUUUGGCUCUCAGUGUUCAGUGUGCAGGUUCUGUGUCUAAUAUGGCCCAACGCCUAUUUGCUCAAACCCGCCAAGUUGAAUCAUUGGCGGUUGAAGUGAUAAGUCUCAAACAGGAGAUCAGAGGGCUCAAGCAUGAGAAUAAACAGUUGCACAAGCUCACACAUGACUAUGCUACAAACAUGAAGAAGAAGCUCGACCAGCUGCAGGAAUCUGAUGGUCAGAUUUUACUUGAUCAUCAGAGGUUUGUGGGUUUGUUCCAAAGGCAUUUAUUGCCUUCGUCUUCUGGGGCUGUAUCACGUAAUGAAGCUCCAAAUGAUCAACCUUCGGUGCCUCCUCCUUCUGGGGUUCUGCCUAGUACUGAGGCUCCGAAUAAUCACCCUCUGGUGCCUCCUCUUUCUGGGGCUCUGCUGACUGCUGAGACUUCUCCUGAGCAACCUUUGUGAAGGCUCCCUCUUGUUUGUUUAUUUUGAUUCAUGUAUAUGUACAUAUUUGUAACUUAUCGGAGAUAUCAAUAAACAAGCUUUGCUUCAUUUCAACGUAUUGUGUUAAAUACACCAAAGCCUUCUUCACUAAGUUCUUUGAAUUUUUCCUUUUGUUGAAGCUUGUAUGUUGAAGCUUUAUGAGUGAAGCAUGUAGGUUGAGGUAGUGCUCCCUUAAUUUCCUGAGUGAGGAAAACUUCUCGUUUGGAGACUUGAAAAUUCUAAGUCACUAAGUGGUCAUGAGACUUUCGAGUAUCAAGGUGCAGUAGCAUAUGGUAGGAGUCCCCCAAGUCUCCGAUCGAAGGAGUUGACGAAUGAGGCAUUUCCUUUCUAAAUGGUAGCCCAAAACUCCUUCUUCAUAUAUAUUUGUUAUGAAAGUUGUUAGACCUAAAGAAGAGGAGGCCUAGGCAAUUUUUUUUUUUGAAAUUUUUUUUUCGAAUUUUCAAAUUUUUGAAUUUCCUAAUUUUUGAAUUUUUGAAUUUUCGAAUUUCCGAAAAAAAUAAAAUAUAUAUAUAUAUAUAUUUUAAAGCUUUGUAGGUGAAGCUUUGGUGUUGAAGCUUUGUAGGUGAAGCUUUGUUGGGCACCAUGAAUUGAUUUUGCUUCACACUAUCUUGAUCAAGAUAGUGUGAAGCUUUUGUAGGUGAAGCUUUUGUGUUGAAGCUUUGUAGGUCAAGCUUUUGUAGGUGAAGCUUUUGUGGGUCAAGCUUUUGUAGGUGAAGCUUUUGUGGGUCAAGCUUUUGUGGGUCAAGCCUUUGUUGGUCAAGCUUUUGUGGGUCUAGCUUUUGUGGGUGAAGCUUUUGUGGGUUAAGCUUUUGUGGGUUAAGCUUUUGUGGGUCAAGCUUUUGUGGGUCAAGCUUUUAUGUUGAAGCUUUUGUGGGUGAAGCUUUUGCAAGUGAAGCUUUGGAGUUGAAGUUUGUAGGUGAAGCUUUGGAGUUGAACCUUUUGUUGGGUACCAUGAAUUGAUUUUGCUUCACACUAUCUUGAUCAAGAUAGUGUGAAGCUUUUGAGAAUUUGUAGUUGUCCUCCAUUGAUGAAGCUUUUGUUGGUAAAGCUUUGGAGUUGAAGUUUUGUAGAUAAAGCUUUGGAGUUGAAGCUUUGUAGGUGAAGCUUUGGAGUUGAAGCUUUUGUUGGGUACCAUGAAUUGAUUUUGCUUCACACUAUCUUGAUCAAGAUAGUGUGAAGCUUUUAAGAAUUUGUAGUUGUCCUCCAUUGAUGAAGAUUUUGUUGAAUUUCCCAAUUUUUUUUUUUUUUAGGAAACUAGAAAUUUGAAAAUGUGGGAGAGGCAACAUAUACAAAUUUUGCUUCCACACUGUUGAGCAAGAGAUUGUGAUGCAAGCCACACCUUGUAGUAGUCGAAGGUUUAGAUGAACCAUAUAAAUUGAAUUUGCUUCGAAGGUCUGAGAAUUGAUGAAGCUUUUGUUGGCACCAUAAAUUGGUUUUGCUUCACACUGUCUUGAUCAGGAGUGUGUGAAGCUUUUGAGAAUUGUGGUUGAACUCCUUUGAUGAAGCUUUUGUUGGCACCAUAAAUUGGUUUUACUUCACACUGUCUUGAUUAAGAGUGUGUGAAGCUUUUGAGAAUUGUGGUUGCCCUCUAUUGAUGAAGCUCUUGUUGGCACCAUAAAUUGGUUUUGCUUCACACUGUCUUGAUCAAGAGUGUGUGAAGCUUUUGAUAAUUGUGGUUGAACUCCUUUGAUGAAGCUCUUGUUGGCACCAUAAAUUGGUUUUGCUUCACACUGUCUUGAUCAAGAGUGUGUGAAACUUUUGAGAAUUGUGGUUGCCUUCCAUUGAUGAAGCUCUUGUUGUUAGCACCAUAAAUUGGUUUUGCUUCACACUGUCUUGAUUAAGAGUGUGUGAAGCUUUUGAGAAUUGUGGUUGCCCUAUAUUGAUGAAGCUCUUGUUGGCACCAUAAAUUGGUUUUGCUUCACACUGUCUUGAUCAAGAGUGUGUGAAGCUUUUGAGAAUUGUGGUUGAACUCAUUUGAUGAAGCUUUUGUUGGUACCAUAAAUUGGUUUUGCUUCACACUAUCUUGAUUAAGAGUGUGAAGCUUUUGAGAAUUAUGGUUGCCCUCCAUUGAUGAAUGGUUUUGCUUCACAUUGUUUUGAUUAAGAGUGUGUGAAGCUUUUAAGAAUUGUGGUUGCCCUCCAUUGAUGAAGCUCUUAUUGGCACCAUAAAUUGGUUUUGCUUCACACUGUCUUGAUCAAGAGUGUGUGAAGCUUUUGAGAAUUGUGGUUGCCCUCCAUUGAUGAAGCUCAUGUUAGUACCAUAAAUUGGUUUUGCUUUACACUGUCUUGAUCAAGAGUGUGUGAAGCUUUUGAGAAUUGUGGUUGAACUCCUUUGAUGAAGCUCUUAUUGGCACCAUAAAUUGGUUUUGCUUCACACUGUCUUGAUCAAGAGUGUGUGAAGCUUUUGAGAAUUGUGGUUGCCCUCCAUUGAUGAAGCUCUUGUUGGCACCAUAAAUUGGUUUUGCUUCACAUUGUCUUGAUCAAGAGUGUGUGAAGCUUUCUACGAGUUGUAGUGUUUGCAUUGUUACAGAGGGGAAAUGUUUGAAGCAGAUGCAAGAGGGCUGAAUAGCUUGAUCUUCGUAUGCCAUGCACUGAAGUUGUUGUUGGCUUGCAAUAAGACUUUGUUGGUGACUAUAACUCUUGUUGGGCAUAAGUGCUCCCCUAGUUGAGUUGUCAAGCUUGAGGGUUUUUGAUUAUUUGUGAAUGCUAGGAGUUCACAUGUACAAGUUGUACCACUCGUCUUCUAGUAGGUGGAAUGAAUGGUGAGUUGCUUUCAUCACUUGGUUGGUGGUACGAAAGUGAGUUCAUUCUUCCCUUGGUUGGUGGCAUGUAUGGCAAGUUGCCAAAUGAUAUUAGAGUACGGGUUGUACAUUUCAUUUCAUCACCUGGUUGGUGGCAUGAAGAUGAGUUCCUUCUUCACCUGGUUGGUGGCAUGAGUGGCAAGUUGCCAAAUGAUAUUAGAGUACGGGUUGUACAUUUCAUCACCUGGUUGGUGGCAUGAAGGAGAGUACGGGUUGUACAUUUCAUCACUUGGUUGGUGGCAUGAAGAUGAGUUCCUUUUUCACAUUUCAUCACCUGGUUGGUGAGAAUAAGGGCAAGGUGUCUAGGCACAUUGUAGCAAGUGUUGAAUGACACAAAAUAUGUUGAACCUUUUCAAAGCACAGUUGGCUUAUGUAUGAAUGUGUUGGAAUGUAUGAUUGAACGAAUAUACUGUGAAGCUGUUCGUUUAUUUGUAUAGUCUUGUUGACAUAUACUUAGACUUUGUUUCAUGUUGGAAGCAUUCAUGUUGAAGCUUUGAACCCGAGUGUUUCAUUGCUAGGAAUGUAAGAGGAUUAGGAUCGAGUUGUCUAAAUCACCUCUUUAUUGAAUUCAUGCCAAAUAGUCUUCGUUACAUAGGAUGCCGAACGGCUGAAGCUUAACACUUGUACAAUGUGAGUUUACUUGUAAUAGUACUUCAAGUGAUCAGCGUUCCAUGGAUGGCCAAAGGGUCUUGCCAUCGGAGCUUCUAAGCUUGUAGGAGCCAGGGCGACUGAUGCCAACAACUUCAAACGGUCCAUCCCAGUUUGGACUAAGUGUUCCUUCACUCGGGACUCUGUCGCAGAGUAAUCUUUUCUUCAAUACCCAGUCCCCACUUUGAAAGAACGAGGUUUGACCCUUGAGUCAUAUAGUAGUUGGAGAUGCGCUGCUUGUAGGCAACAUUCCUCAAGUGAGCCUGGUUUCUGUGUUCCUCGACUAGAUCUAAGUUGAGGGUAAGUUGUUUGUCAUUUUCGCUUUGAACGUAGUUCUGGACUCGGAACGUUGCUUGCUCAAAGUCAACUAGGACAACUGCCUCUGUACCAAAGGUAAGUGAGAAUGGGGUUUCUCCUGUUGAUGUCCGAUACGAAGUGCGGUAUGACCAAAGAACUUGGGGUACAAAUUCUGGCCAACAACCUUUAGCCUUGUCCAAGCUGGUUUUCAAAGUUCGCUUGAUUAUUUUGUUGAUGGCUUCAACUUGUCCAUUAGACUGGGGAUGAGCUGGGGAGGCAAAACAUAAGUUGAUGUUGAACUUAGAGCAGAACAUCCUGAACUUAUUGUUGUCGAACUGUCGCCCAUUGUCAGUGACUAUCGCAUUGGGAAUGCCGAAUCUGCAAAGGAUGUUCUUCCAUACGAAGUCUUCUAUUUUUGCCUCAGUAAUGGUUGCCAAGGGUUCUACUUCGGCCCACUUUGUGAAGUAGUCAACUGCAACGAUUGCAUAGCGAACCUUGCCCAUCCCUGCAGGAAUUGGGCCGAUCAAAUCAAGUCCCCAUUGGGCGAAGGGACAAGGGCCAAGGGCUAAUCAUAGGAGUGAGCGGCUCGGGAGGGGAGUGAGGAAUAGUUGCGUAGCGUUGACACUUAUCACAUGAGCGAGAUAUUCUGAUGGCAUCUUGGUGGAGUGUUGGCCAGUAAUAUCCUUGGCGAAAAGCCUUGUGUGCUAGGGAUCGAGAUCCAGCAUGAUCUCCGCAGACUCCUUCAUGUAUUUCCCGAAGGACAGUUUCCGCCUCUGCGGGCGUAAGGCAUCUUAGGUAUGGUAGGUUAAAACCCUGCUUGUAGAGUUGGUCAUUAAUGAUCAAGUAACGGGUAGCCUUGUAUCGAAUCUGCUUAGCUUGGACUUUGUCAUUUGGAAGGGUGCCAUGAGCAAGGAAUCUAUAAAUCGGGGUAAUCCAACUAUCUCCUUGUUGUAAGUUGCACACUUCCGCAGCCAUGGUGCUUGGUGCUGCCAACAAUUCGACCUGAAUUUUUCUCCCAAUCUUGUCUUCCACCGCUGAGGCGAGGCGAGCCAAAGCAUCUGCAUGACUGUUUGCCGCUCGAGGAAUUUGGGUGAUCUGGUAGUGGAAGUGCUUGAGCAACAAUUGUGUUUGUGCCAGAUAUGCUGCCAUGGAGCUAUCCUUAGCGUCAAAGUUGUUGGUGACCUGGUUAACCACCAAUUGGGAGUCACUGAAGAUAUCAAUUCGUUUAACCCCAAGGUGUUUGGCCAAACGUAAGCCUGCUAUGAGGGCUUCAUAUUCGGCCUCAUUGUUCGACGCCUUGAAUUUGAAACGAAGAGCAUACUCCAUCGCCACUUUGUCAGGGGUCGUAAGGACUAGUCCUGCUCCACAACCCUGUUGGUUGGACGAGCCAUCAACAUAUAGACUCCAUGCUGGGGCUGUUGGUUCUAUUUUCUGAGCUUCCGAGGGUAAUGAAACCACUUCUUUAGGCGUAGAAACAAUGUCAACAGGAUAUGUGAAGUCGGCGAUGAAGUCUGCCACUGCUUGGCCCUUCUCAGCUGGCUUUGGUUGGUAGGAGAUGUCAAACUCACCCAAUGCUAUCGCCCAUUUGAUCAUUCGCCCGGAAGUGUCAGGACUUUGGAGUAUCUGUCGAAGAGGAUGAUUGGUAAGCACGAUGAUGGAGUGUGCUUGGAAGUAAGGGCGAAGUUUUCGAGCAGACAUGACCAAUGUUAGAGCCAAUUUCUCAAUGUUGGAGUAUCAUGUCUCUGCAUCUUGUAAGGCCUUGCUAGCGUAGUAGACAGGCCGUUCGACAUUACCAUCCUUUCGAAUGAGAACGGAACUUACUGCUGAAGCCGAUACCGACAGAUAGAUAAUGAGAGUGUCACCAACCUCAGGUUUGGAGAGCAAAUGGGCUUUACUCAUGUAGUCUUUGAGGUUUUUGAAUGCCUCAGCACAUUCAUUAGUCCAUGUAAUGUACUUCUUACUUCCCUUAAGUGAUUUGAAGAAAUGAGCACAUCUGUCUGUGGCCUUAGAGAUGAACCUAGUUAAGGCUGCCACCUUGCCAGUAAGGCUCUGAAUGUCUUUUGAAGUUACCGGUUCCUUCAUGUCGAGGAUUGCUUUGAUCUUCUCGGGAUUAGCCUCAAUGCCUCGUUGGCUUAUCAUGAAGCCUAAGAAUUUGCCAGAGCCUACGCCGAAGGCACAUUUGUUGGGGUUCAACCUCAUUCGAUACCUCUUCAGAAUGGUGAAAGUUUCAGAUAGGUUGGUGAUGUGUUGGUCAGCAUGUUUGCUCUUGACUAGCAUAUCAUCAACGUAAACUUCCAUGCUCUUCCCAAUCUGUUCGGCGAACAUUGAAUUGACUAGUCUCUGAUAAGUCGCUCCUGCAUUCUUUAGGCCGAAGGGCAUGACUUUAUAGCAAUAUAGUUCCCUGUCAGUAGUGAAGGCUGUGUGUUCUUGGUCCGGAAGGUUCAUGAGGAUUUGGUUGUAUCCUGAGUAAGCAUCCAUGAAGCUCAGGAGUUCACACCCUGCCGUAGAGUCUAUAAGUCUGUCUAUGAGAGGAAGAGGAAAGCUAUCCUUCGGCAUCCUUUGUUUAGGUCGGUGUAAUCGACACACAUUCUCCACAAGACCUUUUGGAAGCAGGAGACUUUCCUUGGUCGGAUUCUUCUUAACAAGGACAACAUUUGCUACCCACGUUGGAUAAUUGACUUCACGGACGAAGCCUAUGCCUUUGAGUAUUUCAACUUCUGCCUUCAUUGCCUCGUACCGUUCAGCGUCAUAAGAUCUUCGCUUCUGUCUCACUGGCUUAGUCUUGGGGUCAAUACUUAAGCGAUGACAGAUUAUAUCGAAAGAAAUGUCUGGCAUGUCCUCGUAUGACCAGGCGAAGACCUCAGUGUUCUCUUGCAAAAAAGAGAUCAAUGCCAACCGAAUGGGUGGUGACAAGGUGGUACCAAUCUUUACCAUGCGAUCCGGAUAAUCUUUUGAGAUAAAGACCUUCUCCAACUCUUCAGCGGAUUGUGUUUGCUGGGUGAAAGAGUCAUCUUGAGAAUCGUCAGGUUGAUUGUUACCACCGUGAAGAUCCAAGUUGGCUUUAUCUUUGCUGGUCUUUAUGACUUGGUCAUGUAUCGAAAGGGGUUCCUUGGGCAUAUGCAGGUGUUAUUGCUUGAUUGAAGUGUUGUAACAUGAUCGUGCACUAAGUUGAUCUCCUAUGAUGUAACCAUUGCCAUAGGGGGUUGGAAAUUUCAUCAACAACAUAUGUGUGGAUAUCAUGGCCUUGAGAUCACUGAUGCCUGUGCGUCCAAAGAUGACAUUGUAUGCCGUUGGGCAAUCAACCACCAGGAAGUUAGUGGUAAUGGUAGCUGUGUAAGGGCAUGUACCAAUGGUGGAAGGUAAGUGUAUGCUCCCCAAAGGUUGCACAAUAUCACCAGAGAAGCCUAUCAGAGGGGAAAUCGAGCGGUCGAGCAAAUGUUCAGCUACAUUAAGUGCCCUGAAAGCUUCAGCAAACAUGAUAUUGACCGAAGCCUCAGUGUCUCCCAGGAUUCAUCAUACUUCAAAGUUGGCUAUGUGAGCUUCCACGAUCAGUGGGUCGUUGUGAGGGUAAAUAAUACCUCUUUCUUCCUCAGGGUAAAAACAUAUUGGAUCCCAGUUAGGCUUUUGAUACUUACCUCCCCUGAUGUCUUCCACGUGAAACACUUGGUGGCCAGACCUUAAAGCUCGUUCACUAUUUUUCAUGGCCCUGUUGGAAGAUUUAGAUAUGGGUGUGCCACCACUUAUGGAAUAUAUCACAUUUACCUGGCGUUGGUUACGGUUACCCCUUGGAGGGUGAAGGAGGAAUUGAUCAAUUUUUCCUUCACGUGCCAAAGCUUCAAUAUGAUCACGAAUGGUGAUACACUUCUCGCCGUCAUGGCCGUUAUGCUCGUGGUAGCAGCAAAACGUGCCCGUGUUCUUCGUGGGCUUGUAAUCUGGGUGCCUCGGCUUUGGCUUCGGUAUCAAGUGUGUUAUGCUGGGGUAAAUGGCCACGCAUGUGCCAAUCAAAUGUGUGUAUGCCUCAUACCCCGGGGUAGGGGCUGUCCUGACACGUGCUUGACCCAUUGUGUUGACUGCCUGGGGUCGAUUAUUAUCAUGGCGAUACCCUUGGUUAUCGCGGUAGUUUCCCUUACUCCUUUUACUAAAAUGAGACUGGUAAGGAUGGAAAUCUUUCCUUUUGCCUUGAGAUUGAUAUGUCUGUUGACUUGGCAAAGUAUUAAGUAAGGCAGGGGGAGGCACUGCUGCCGUUUGGAAGGUCAAGGUCUUCUCAUUUGGUUGGAUCUGGCUUCCACUCCCUACUUGCUGAUAAGGGUUGGUUAUGGGGGGUUUCCCUUGAUAUGUUCUUGCCUCGGCGGAGGCAUGGUUGUAAGCCUGUGCCAUCACCUCAGAGUAAGUCUUCCAAGUGUUGGCAUUGAUCAUGUACUUGAAGAAACAAUCAUGUAGGCCUGCCGUAAAGGCCUUGAGGGCGGUCUUGUCAUCUGCCUCAGCGCAGUGAGAAUACUCAUGGCUGAAACGACCAGCAUACUUUUGUAGUGACUCGUCUGGCUUCUAGCGAAUAGUGUACAAGUCAUCUGCAGAAUGCAAGUGAUCGGUCUGGAAGAUGUGUUAAGAGAUAAACAGUUUCCUCAGUUCGUCAAAUGAGUUUACUGUCUUAGGUGGAAGACAAUAAUACCAGUUUAGAGCUCCGCAAGAGAGGGUGGAGGGGAAAAGAAGACAUCGCUCUUUGUCGGUGUGCAUCCGAUAUGCCACGGUGGACUCAAAGAGGUUAAGGUGUUCAAUUGGGUCAUCCUUUCCAGCAUAGAGUUGUAAACCAAGCUUUUGUUUUGUUUUCGCUUGAAGAUGGGUGUCAAGGAUCCUCCUUGUGAGAGGGCCAGGCCUGGGUUGGUUCCAGUCAGGUAUCUCGGCCUGACGUUCGGCCUUCAACUUGUUUACUUCCUCAAUGAGCUGUAGGACAAUGGGGUCUUGAGUGGAGUCAUGUACCACUGGGAUUUUCUUUGGACUCGCCGUACUGACUUCUAGGAAGUAAGAAAGUUUAAGCAAGGGCGUGUGAUUUUUCCAUCGCCUCUUGGAAGUAGGAAAGUUUGAGCAAGGGCGUGUGAUUUUUCCUUGGACUCGCCGUACUGACUUCUAGGGCGAGUCUAUCGGAAUACCUCAGAGUCCCAUGUACCUUCAUGUUCCUCUAGGACAUGUCGUUCUUUCCCUAGAUUGGCAGCUGGCCUAGGUCGUGGGAGGGGACCGAGUCUUUCAGAAACCCUUGGGUCAUUGAUCUUCGAGCAUAUGUGGAGGAGAUUUUCUUGACGUUGCUUUAAGAAGUCUCGGCAGUCACGAUAAACGGCUUUCAAUCUUUCCAACCCUUCUGCAAUGAGAUAUCUUCCUCCACUUCUCCUGCUUCAAGUCUAAACAGCUGGGUUGAGAGAAGUCUCAUGUUGAUCAAUGUUUUGAUGAUUAGCUCGCUCCUCAUUAGGGAUACCCAUGUCGAAGGAAGGUGACCCUCCGUGUUGGUGGGGCACCGGAUAAUGGUUGAUGUCCACAGGGGCAACAAGCUCGCAUGGUUGAGUACGUAUAGUUUCGUGGAAUGUCUCAAAGAGCUUCUCAUACUGCUCCUGGAGGACCUCAUUCUUCAUUGCUAUCUUGUUGUUUUGAGCUUCUAGCUCAUCGAAUUUAGCUUGAAGAGCAACCCUCAUUCCUUCAUUCUUUCGUUGCUUCGCACUAGGUGCAAGAUGGGUGUCAUUCUGUGUGUUGUGGCUUCCUUCGCUUUCCAUGUUGGAGAAGGAUGCCUGGUCAAAAGAGAGUGUACGAAUGGUGGAAACCAGCUUGACAAAGCUGAAGAGAGUGGGAAUAAGUGUCGUUCCCACAGACGGCGCCAAAUGUUGAUGCACAAAAUCAGUAAGGACUUUGGUACAACAAAAAGUGUUAAGUUUAUGAACUUCGCUAGAUUGCUCUGGUCACUAGCGUGGAUAAGUAUGUAAAUGGAUAGAGACAGGGAAGCAAACACAAGAUGUACGUGGUUCACUCAGAUUGGCUACGUCCAGGGAGUAUAAGAGUUCUCAUUAAUUGUAAAGGGUUUACCCAAGUACAUAGGUUCAAGCUCUCCUUUAGUGAGUACAAGUGAAUGAUUUAGUACAAAUGACAUUAGGAAAUAUUGUGAGAGAAUGAUAUCUAUUUAUAGAAGAGAGUUUCUAGUUUCAUUCUGACAUUGACACAUGUCGUGUUGUGAUUGGCUUCUGAUGUUAACACGUGUCGCGCUAUGAUUGGCUUCUGAUGUUGACACGUGUCGCUCUGUGAUUGGCCUCCUGGUUGGAGGGAAACUCUUCUGGGUCCUUGACGGUAUAACGUUGACCGGUGCUCAGUAGUUUCGGGAUUGGUCAAGUAUGGUACAAACAAGUUGAAUAACAUCAUGUAAAAUAAUGUAUUUUGGUUAGACAGAAAUGUCAACAUCAUUGUGGACCCCGCUAUAAUAAUAAAAAUGGCAUAAGAGUAAAUAAAGAAAAGAGCUUGAUCCAUUAUGGACUUUUCAUACACAAAAUGUCAUUUUGAUUAAAAAUGAAUAGUGCCAAGCCCUUUUCGUUAAAACUCCCAAUGAAUAAAGUUCUAUUUUUGUGCUCAAGUUCUUAAAGUGCUUUAUGGGUUUAAAGCAUUUCUAUCUCUCCAAUACAAUUGUAAUGCUCUACUAGUUAAUUAGACUUUGUGUUUUUCAUACCUUUUAAUUGUUUAGCCAAUUAACACUCAGCCUCAUUACAACUCUAUGAAAGACCUUUUGAUUCAAGAAGUUACUUGAUAUUGAUAGUGAGUUAGGUAGACAAGCAAGCAUAUGGCGGUAUGUUUUGUGAGAUCAUUUGAAUGAAACAUAUUAACCCACAAAUAUGAGUUAAUGAGUGUAUGCCUUGUGAGAAGCUCUUUGUAUGCAUAUGAUAAUUUUAAGAAGCUUGGAAUUGCAUUGACAUGACUAUUACACACACUACACUCCAAGUUGGUUCAAUUCAAAUUUGGUUAACUCUUGGAUAAUGUCGUGAACUAUUGUUUAUUUCUUGAAAGUUAUCUCACGGAUGGGUUUUCACCAAGAUUAAAAUUUAGAGAUUAGCUAUUAAUUUUUUUUUUGUCGAGUCCUUGUGUUUUCUUCUGUUAUGCUUGAGGACUAGCAAAGUCUAAGUUUGGAGUUAUUUGAAGCGGUAAUAUUUCAUAUAUUUUUAUCAUAUAUUUCCUUUGGAUUUUGUGUAUUCAAAUUGGUUAAAUGCACUAAAUCUAAUUGUUUUUAAUAUAUAGGCUUUAGUACCAAAGUUACGCAAAAAAGAAAUGAAAAAUGGUGAUUUGGGGUAUCUAGGGUAAUUUCGGUGGUGCAAGAGUCGAACUAACUGCACGAAGACAUGUGCAUUACAACAAGAAGAUGAGACUGCAAUGGUUUUGGAAAUCAAAUCGACAUGGGGACACUAUUCAUUGGAUUUUAGGAAAGAACUUAACUACUAGUUGUAUGAUUUCCAUUUAAUUUUCCCUUUCUUUAAUAAGGUCUUAAAGUCCAUUAAUUAGUUAGUGGGUUUUUAACAAAGUUCUAAAAGAUACUAGGCGUUAGUUAGGCAACAGGUUGGGGCCUAGCGCCUAGGCAGAUUAGGCAGAUUUAAGUAAAUCCAUUAUAUUUCAUGUAAAUAAGUGUCAAUUUAUACUUAAUAUAUAUUUAAUUUCAUCAUAAACUACAAGCAUAUAAUGUGUUCUCAUUUAAGUAUUCAACAAGUCUCUUACAAUUUAUUGAAAAAAUAAAAUGCAAAGUGAAAGUUAUCUAUUUUCUAUCUAAGUGAGUCGUAACUUAGGCGGGUGCCUAGGCGGGUCUGGGCGGGCUAAGUGGGUGCCUGGGCGGGCGCCUCAGCAGGUCUAGGCGCCAUUUCUUAAUUUUGAAACGCCUAGGCAUUAUCCGGGUGGUGGUCAACCACCUAACGCCUAGACGAUGCCUAGGCGGCGCUAGGCGGAGACUUUUAGAAAAGUGGUUUUAAUUAGAAUUUAGUAUGAUUUAUGUUUAUUGCCAUGGGUUACAAAAAGAGAUUAAAACUCCUUAUGAAAAGGAGGAAGGCCACCAAAAACCAAAAAUCAUCAUAUUGGAGUAAAAUGCUGCUGCAAGAAGGACAAGAGGAAGAACUUUUCAUUUUUUAUUUUGCUAGGGCUACGAUGUAGCCUAAUCAUGAAUAUUUAAUUGUAUUGUGGCAUUGUUAUUAUCAAGUUUUUCUUCCUUAUUGAGUAUCAUUUGCUAAUCAUAAUGCACUUGAUUUUUAUUUAGAUGCUUGAUUCCCGCCUAGGUUUCAAUUAAGUUGAUUUGAUGCAAGUUAGAGUAGAUGUCAUACUUAACUUGGGUUUAGUUUCUUGUAAUUGAUACCAUAAACACCUAUUUGUAGAUGCCAUGCAAUUAGGGUUUGUGUGAUUGUCCAACGAUUUCCAUAGAGCUUAAGGAGUUCUUACUUGUUUAAAUUCAUCUAGAUGUCAUAGAGGGUUAACAUGUAAGGAUACUUUUGAUGCAACUAGAUGCCAUGGGCAUUGAAUAAUUUAGGAAAAAUCGAUGAUCAAUAUUGGGGAACUACUUGAGCAUAACAUAUUAAGGGAAUUAAGUAAAAUUGGUUAUGGUGAAUUCGAAUGCCUUAGGUAUUCUUUUCUUAUGUUUUCAUUUUAUUAUUUACAUGCAUUUUAUUUCAAGCUUUAUUUUAUUUCAGUUUAAUUCAAAAUCUCCUAUCUUUUUUGUUAAAACUUCUCAAUCAUAAUUUGUUUCAAUUUAGUUGGUAAGACUUUAGAAUCAAUUCAAUUUCUGUGAAACGAUAUCCAUGCUUAUAUGUUAUACAAUCAUCCGAUUUGUAUACUUGUGAGGACUAAAAUUCGAGACUUAAUGAGGUUAAUUUUGAUUAUCUAAUUUAGUUUUGUGACUCACUGCACAUUUUGUUAAAAAAAAAAGUCUUGAUUUCAAAUCUUACUAAAGUUAAUUAUUGAAUAAUAUUUGUUUUUUCAAAAAGAGAUCCCACAUACGUUAGCACUUACUUUCUAAAUGUUUCAUAUUUAGCAAGGGAAUUGUUAUUGGCAUUCUAAAAAUCUCAUUUUACACUCCAAAUUUUCUAUAUUUGGAAAGAAAAAUACACUUGUGAGGAGUGUAGAAUGAGAUUUUUGGAGUCCCAAUAACACUUCCCUUUAGCAAAACCUAAAAUUAUAAGGAUGACCUCAAAUCAACAAGGUUCUCCGUUUUGGGAAGGUCGGGAGAAGAACAUAUGUCGUAUGUAGCCUUAGUUUUGUUUUGUAAAGAUGUUUCUACAACUUGAACCUGUGACCUUUUAGUUAAAGGAGUAACAUUUUCAUUUUGCCAAGUAUAGUGGGAUUUAAACAUGAAAUUGAAUGUUCGUCUUUUUAGAAGCAUGAAUAUAUAAAUGAGUGCUACUAGGGUGGGGUGAGCCCAUGGUCUGGGUGUUGGGUAGGGGUGGAGGGUGUGAUCGUCAUGCCAAGGUGGUGGGGGGUGUGGGGGAAAAUUUGUCAGCAAUGGUAGAGAGGACAAUUGAUGCAAUGAUCAUGAUGGUGAUGGUGAAUUUGAAAAUGAGAGUAUUUAAAUGAAAUUUAAAGUUCAAAUUUGUAACCUCCAAAUACCAAGUUAUAUUUGACAGAGAAUUUCAAAAAAAAAAAAAGUUUAUAAAUGCAAGCAAUAAAAUUACAUAUGUCAAUUUAGAAAUUCUCAUAUUUGUCAAAAUUUAAGUUUCAAACCCUCCCCAAAUCAAGCCAAAUUCGCUUCGAUUCGAUUCGGUUCAGUUUAGGUUUGGCUAAUUAAACCUAAUCUCGAACGAAACAUAUAGAUUUAUCUUAUAUUUAUUCUUAUACACGUCUGGUUCUUAAAGGGUAAUUUUGUUGUCAUUGUAUUGAACUAGUUAUGAAGGUGUAGUUUGAUGAAUUUCAUUCAUUGUGAGAAGUACCUGUUCUUGAAUGGAAUCCGAGCCAAUUGAAGAACAAUUAAGUUUGGUUUAAGCUCACACCCAAAACCCUUGAAAUUUUACAAAAAAAUAUCAAAUGAGUGUGGCUCAAACCAAACUAUUGUCUUUAAAAACUACCAAGCUUAAUUGGUGCGCGGACUGAGAAAUCAAGAGCUAACUACGUCCUUCUGGUGAAAGCGGGCGUGCUAACUCAUGACCGAGCUCGGUCGGCGAGUAGAAUGAGUGUGAUGGUGAUGUCGAAUGCGCUGCUGACUUUUGUACUCGAGUGAUCACGAUCGAGGAAGGAACAUGUCUUGCCCUUAGAUUUUAGAACCUAAAGGCAAGGUUACUAGUCACCGUGAAGUUCAAGAUCUUUUGCACUAGGUUCAGCUACCUCAACUAUAUUCGUUAAUAUAUAGGUGAGCGGACUUGGAUCAAACUGUAAGGACACAAAUACUCAUACAAGAUAAGUGUCUUGAUGGUGAACAUUGUUUGGUCGUCAAAAUGCCAAACUCUGAAGUGCACCUGAGAAUAACCAAUCAUAGAACACCGCUAGUGAAAUGACCUCGUUUGGCAAAAGAAUCGAAGACUCCUUACCGACUGAGACUUGGAUAGAUAAUCAACUGAGCUUGAAGUAGUGUUGUUAAUCCAAAUUGAAGAUACUUCUCGAUUGCCUGAUUCUAUGUCUCCAAUGCUGUUAAUCCAAACUGAAGAUGUUGUUGGUUGUCAACACAAUGCUGUUACUCCAAGCUGAAAGGGUGAUGACGAAGUUGUAAGAGUUGGUAAUUUCUCAAAAUGUGAGAGGGUUUUGAGUAGCGCGAUUUUGUGCUGAGCGUUUGAAAAAAAAAAUCCAUUUAUAAAUCAAUAUAUUUUUUGACUCUAUUUAGUGUGUUGUGUUGAAGUUUCUUUUCACGUUGCAGACUCCUAUUUAUAGGAGCGAGUUUUGCAAUGACCAAGUAUGCCGAAGUAGAGUCCCACUAGAACUAUACUCCCUCGAUGUACUUUUGGAUUAUGAUAUUAUCCCUUUAUAUGGAAAAACCAAUUCGUACGUGGUCUUCGACCAUUUUAACUAGAAUUAGGAUUCUAAACCCAGUCCACUUAUGCAUUAGAAUCCCACUUCUGUUAGGAUUCAGCCGAAUUCCACUAAGAGCUGGAUUUUGGACAUCAUUUGGCCUGAAAGAUUACCACUAGGCCGGGAAUUAAACCUUAAUGCGAAUUCCCACCUUUGACCCAAAUCCAAUAUUUCAUACCCAAACACAAACUAAGUAUGAAAGUGAACUAAAUCAAACCAAACUAGUUCCAUUUUUCAAAUUUGAUUUUCGAUUUCGAGAGAACUUGAUUGAACCAAACCAGAUGGUGCUUGCCUAUAAAAAGGCAACAAUAAUGAUCCAAUACAAACAAGGGAGUGUUAACGAAAAGGGCUUGGGUUAACUUUUAUUUAAUGAAAAACAACCCUAAACUAUUAUUUAAUAAAAAAGGCUUAAAUUUUAAUUAUAAGGACACAAAACUUAUCUUUUAGGCCCUACAAAAACUAAAACACACGGGCUCAAAAAAAGCCCAAACCGGAUAACAAUUAAUAUUUCAAAAUUGCCCCUAACGGAGCCUAAUCCAGGCUCGUUAGCCAAACUAACGGUUACAAUCCCAAAAUCACUCCUCCAUCCAUCGCCAUUACGAUCGGCAUACCUACCCCUUCAAACCGCACUAAAAAACCGAAACCUCCAUUGCUCGAAACCUCAAGUUCUCAAACCAAUUUCAACUUCGAUUCAAGUUUUCAAACAAUAAUCUACACAUCAAAUCCGGAAUUCCUCAACCCAAAAACUGCAUUUGAAGACGAAAAACUGAAAAAAUUCAAGAUAUAUAUUUGCAGAGUCCAAAUUGGAGAAACAAAGCUAUGAACCUAGAAAUAAGUUGUGUCGGACCGAUGGGAAUUCUUGAACGAUAGCUUUCGGAUAGGCGAGAAGCGACUUCUCUACGAAAUACAACGCCGAAAAAUUAACCCUCCGCCGCCCCAGGUGGCGUCGAUUUGGGCGGUUCCGACGGCAAAACCGAUGAUCUCCCCGUCGAACUCCGGUGACGAGCAGGUGAUGUCUUCGAGUUCGUCGCCGAUCAGAGCAUCGUCGAAGAUUAUGGACGAGAACGAGAGGCUGAGGAAAGAGAACAUGUAGCUCACCAAGGAGCUGGCGGAGGUGAAGUCCCUCUGCAACAACAUCUUCACCAUGGUAUCGAAUUAUGCUUGCGCCCAAUCGGAGAGCGGUUUCCCGGAGCUAAAACCGCUCGGUUUGAUGCCCAAGAAGUGUUUCUCCGGAAAGAGGGAGAACGAAGAGAAGGAAGAGGCGAGUCCGAAGCUUUUCGAGGUGGUGAUUGGGGCCAAGCGUGCGAGAGAGGCCGGCGGCGACGGCGUAGAGAACGAUGAGACCGACUUGCAGCUUCAGCAACCGAGCGUUAGCGAGGUUAAAUCAAAGCUGUCGGAUAUUGGUCAUAAGGAAACGCCGUGGCUGAAGCAGUGCCACAUGGCUAAUCAGAGGGUGUGUAAUUGAUCAUCAGUUAGAAGCAAUGGUAUAUAUUAGAUGGAGUUGUACUUGGAAGGACCAGGAUUGAGGCACGUGUUAAAAUGGGUUCACGUGCGUCGUCAACCUCUAGGGGGCCCCAUUCCCUUCAAGAAGUUUCUUAGACUUUCUUCUCUUUUUGCUUUAUGAAUUUUAGAAAUAACACUUUUGUUUUGUCUUCUGCCUUUUGAUUUUGCAUGAUAUUCCGCAUGGAAUCUGAUCAAAUGUUCCUCACUUCCCACAAAGACAGAAAAAGAAAAAGGUGAAAUAAUAAAUCUACUAGAAAUCAAAGUUGGGAAAGACCAUAUCCAAAGCAACGAAUAAAUAUGAAAGAUUUAACGGCUCAAAAUUCUUGUGUUCAUCGGUAAUAUAAAAUCCUUUUAUUUAUUGUGUCACCUUAUUUUUCAACCUUUCAUUGACUAUUUCUAUAACUGAACACGAUUAUUAUCAUUAUUUCUUAAACUGAACACUUAUACUUUCACUAUUUCUUAAACUGAAUACUAACUAUUUCGUAAACUGAAUAUUAACUAUUUCGUAAACUGAACAUUGACUAUUUCUUAAAUUGAACCGACUAUUUCUUAAAGUGAACACUAGUACUAUCACUAUUUCUUAUUUCGUAAACUGAACCGACUAUUUCUUAAACUGAACCGACUAUUUCUUAAACUGAACACUAGUACUAUCACUAUUUCUUAAAUUAAACACUGAUUAUUUUUUAAACUGAACGCUGACUAUUUCUAUAACUGAACACAAGUAUUAUCAUUAUUUUUUAAACUGAACAUUGGUACUAUCACUAUUUCUUAAACUGAAUACUGACUAUUUCGUAAACUGAACAUUGACUAUUUCGUAAACUGAAUCGACUAUUUCGUAAACUAAACAUUGACUAUUUCGUAAACUGAACCGACUAUUUCUUAAACUGAACACUGACUAUUUUUUAAACAGAACACCCACUAUUUCUAAAAUUGAACACGUGUAUUAUCAUUAUUUCUUAAAUUGAACACUGGUACUAUCACUAUUUCAUAAAUUGAAUAUUGACUAUUUCGUAAACUGAAUUUUGACUAUUUCUUAAAUUAAAUAUUGACUAUUUCUUAAAUUAAAUAUUAACUAUUUCUUAAAUUGAACUGUGAUACUACCAGGAAGGAUAUACAUGAUGGGAAGGGACGUCUUUUUCAUAGGCUUGAGAAACCCAUCGAUUCCCACUUUCUUUUAUUAUAUAUAUAUAUAUAUAUAUCCUUUCAUUGAAAAUUAUUUCAAUUUCAUUCCCCUUCCUCUUUGAGCAUGUGCUUCUCUUCCACUAUUUAGUUUGAUAAAUAGUUCAAUUUGCUUUGGUAAAAAAAUGUGAUUUUCUAGUUUACUUUGAUAAAUAAUUCAGUUUGCUUUAGUAAAAAAAUGUGGUUUUCUAGUUUAGUUUGAGAAAUAGUUCAGAUUGUUUUGGUAACAAAGUAUGGUUUUCUGGUUCACUUUGAUAAAUAGUUCAUUUUGCUUUGGUAAAAAAGUGUGGUUUAGUUUGAUAAAUAGUUUAGUUUGCUUUGGUAAAAAAGUGUGGCUCAGUUUGAUAAAUAGUUCAGUUUCUUUUGGUAAAAAAAUGUGGUUUAGUUUGAUAAAUAGUUCAGUUUGCUUUGGUAAAAAAAUGUGGUUUUCUAGUUUACUUUGAUAAAUAGUUCAGUUUGAUAAAUAGUUCAGUUUGCUUUGGUGAAAAAGUGUGGUUUAGUUUAAUAAAUAGUUCAAUUUGCUUUGGUAAAAAAGUAUGGUUUUCUAAUUCAGUUUGAUAAAUAGUUCAGUUUGCUUUGGUAAAAAAAUGUGGUUUGGUUUGAUAAAUAGUUCACUUUAAUAAAUAGUUCAGUUUGCUUUGGUAAAAAAGUGUGGUUUAGUUCGAUAAAUAGUUCAGUUUGCUUUGAUAAAAAAAUGUGGUUUGGUUUGAUAAAUAGUUCACUUUGAUAAAUAGUUCAGUUUGCUUUGGUAAAAAAGUGUGGUUUAGUUCGAUAAAUAGUUCAGUUUACUUUGGUAAAAAAAUGUGGUUUGGUUUGAUAAAUAGUUCACUUUGAUAAAUAGUUCACUUUGCUUUGGUAAAAAAAUACGGUUUAGUUUGAUAAAUAGUUCAGUUUGAUAAACCUAAUGUAUAAAUUGUGACGCAAUUCACUGAGACUCCCUGCAAACAAGAACAAUCACCCUCCCAUCCAUCCUCCCUCCUAUUGUAGACAUCGAAAUUUCGUAAAUAAAUGUUGACCGAUAAAUCAAAGUGUCAACGCUCAUGUAUUACAUAAAUUUUACACGUAGCGUGUGACUCAACGAAAAUUGAAAUGAGUUGGAAAAGUCAUCAAAUAGGACACGUGUCAACGCCUGGCAGAAACGACUUAUUUCAUCUGGAAUAUUAUAUUCAAAAUUAGGCCUUGGAAAAUUCUAUAAAUACAAGCCCAAUUUCAUUCAUUUAAAAAACGAAUUGAUAUUACACCUUGAAGCUCUGAAGCUCUGAAACUCCGAAGCUCUCAAGCAUCCAGGUUCCCGAAGAAUCAAGAAAGUGUUCUUCGUUCUUCGUUCAUCGUUCUUCCAAGAUCAAGCCUCGACGGCCCUUGGAUCAACAAUCAUCCACCUUCAAGAUCAAGCCCCAACGGCCCUUUGGAUCAACAAACGUCGACAAAUCCACACAUCCAACCGUUCUUCAAGAUUAAGCCCAAAAGCCCUUGAAGAUCUGUUCAUCACUGUUUCUUCAAGAUCAAGCCCAAAAGCCCUUGAAGAUCCGCUCAAAUCCACCUUCAAAGAUCAAGCCCACGGCCCUUUGAAGAAACUUCCAACAGUUCAUCCAAGAUUAAGCCCAAAAGCCCUUGAAGAUCUGUUCAUCACUGUUUCUUCAAGAUCAAGCCCAAAAGCCCUUGAAGAUCCGCUCAAAUCCACCUUCAAAGAUCAAGCCCACGGCCCUUUGAAGAAACUUCCAACAGUUCAUCCAAGAUUAAGCCCAAAAGCCCUUGAAGAUCUGUUCAUCACUGUUUCUUCAAGAUCAAGCCCAAAAGCCCUUGAAGAUCCGCUCAAAUCCACCUUCAAAGAUCAAGCCCACGGCCAUUUGAAGAAACUUCCAACAGUUCAUCCAAGAUCAAGCCCCGACGGCCCUUGGAUCAACGAAACAUCCACAAAUCAACACCUUACGGAGAUCGAAUCAGAGGAUCAAAUUAGAGAGAGAUUGUAACCCAAAAUCAUCAAAACACAAAUAUUUUGUUUGUGCACGUUGUUCUUGUCUCUUUCGUUUCGGGAAUUUUCCGUGUUCACAAAUUGGCACGCCCAGUGGGACCAUCUCUGCCUCUCAUCUCUUUCUCCGUUCAAGAAAUUCAAGCGCACUUCCAAAAUUAAUGGCAUCAAGGAAGGCUCAAACUGUUCCCGCAACCGACGUAAAGAACAAAAGCGUCCUCGUCGCAACUGGUGUCACUUUAGGCAUCACGACUCGAAGCAUGGCAAGAGCUACUUCUGCCGCCUCUUUCACCUCUGCAUCAACUAUGCCAAGGGAACAAAAGCACCCAAGGCACGAGCCUUUGAUCACCUUAGCCUCGCUAAGGGCACCAAGGGGGGAAAGCCCAAGGAAAUACUCCGAAUCCAUGCUCUCCGAUGCCGAUUCAAGCGACGGUUCAGCCAUGCAAGUCAUGACCAUUGGAGCAACUUCAAUCGAUGAGCAGCUGGCUCAAAUGAAUGAAGCAAUCGCAAGGCUAACCCGAACUGUGGAAGAAAAAGACUUGCAAAUCGCUGCACUCGUCAGCCGACUGGAGCCACAGGACGACGAGAACCCUAACCCAGAAGAUGAGCCUCAGGUGGAGAAAAACAAUGCGAAGCCCGAGCCAGAUCAAGCAGCGGCACUAAUGGGAUCUCUUUCUAUCCAGCAGCUGCAAGAGAUGAUCACCAACACCAUCAAGGCACAGUACGAAGGGAGCUUAAAUACCUCCGAGUUGUACUCAAAGCCGUAUUCAAAGAAGAUCGACGCCUUAAGGAUGCCGAGGGGCUAUCAACCGCCGAAGUUUAUGCAAUUUGACGGAAAGGGAAACCCGAAGCAACAUGUCGCACAUUUCGUGGAAACCUGCAACAAUGCAGGGACGGAGGGAGAUUACCUCGCCAAGCAGUUUGUGCGCUCGUUAAAAGGAAACGCCUUUGAGUGGUACACGGACCUGGAGCCCGAGUCCAUCAACAGCUGGGAGCAGUUAGAGCGAGAAUUCCUCAACCGCUUCUAUAGCACCCGCCGCACUGUGAGCAUGCUAGAGCUAACGAGCACAAAGCAGUGGAAGGACGAGCCAGUCAUUGACUACAUCAACAGAUGGCGCACUCUAAGCCUCGACUGCAAAGAUAGGCUCUCGGAGACCUCUUCAAUUGAGAUGUGCAUCCAGGGCAUGCAAUGGGGUUUGCAAUACAUUCUUCAAGGCAUCAAACCACGGACCUUCGAAGAGCUAGCCACUCGCGCCCAUGACAUGGAGUUGAGCAUCGCCCAUCAUGGGAAGAAAGAACCGAUCGCCGACUACAAGAACGACAAAGUUCUUGGGACAAAGGUGGAAAAGGCUGCAUGGAAACCCACCAAGGAAGCGAUGACGGUCAACACAGCUCCCGUCAAAAUAUCCAUACGAGGCAAGGCGAUUCAACCGAAGCUUUUCGUGAUCAAGAGAUGCGUAGACGCACUUUGAAAGAGCUUGAGGAGAAGACUUAUCCAUUCCCCGACUCUGAUGUGGUUGCCAUGUUAGAAGACUUGUUGGAAAAGAAGGUGAUUGGUUUGCCUGAGUGCAAACGGCCAGAAGAGAUGAAUCGCACCGACAGUCCAAGGUACUGUAAAUUCCACCGCUUCAUCAGUCAUCCGACAGAAAAAUGUUUCGUGCUGAAAGAUCUCAUCAUGAAGCUGGCUCAUAAAGGAAUCAUCGAGCUAGAUCUUGACGAAGUGGCGAAGUCAAACUAUACCACCUUCACUUCUGGCUCUUCCGACUCAAAGUUUUCACCUCAACCGCUGGGGGCAUCGUCCAAGACAAGCAAAAUUGAAGGAUGGACUCAAGUCACUCCUAAGAAAUUGCACAAGAAGCAUACGUCUCCUCCACAAGUCCGCCAAUCGGAAAGGGGGCAAAGCAGCUCUUGUCAACCUUCAAAGCAACGUGAACAUGUUGAAAAUGAGGAAAUUUCGACACAUAGAUCGUCCAUCCCCAUCACGAUGCGUGAUUUCUUUCCUGAAGACUUCUUCAAUCACUCGGUCAAGGCUCCUUGCUAUGAAGAUUGCGAGGAACGACUCUCUCAGAUCGCUUGACGAACCAAAGCUCCUUGUCUAUAAGAGCCUAAACUGCAAGACACAAUGCUCCUUGUUCGCACGAGUCUAAACUGCAUGGCACAAAGCUCCUUGUCCGCACGAGCCUAAACUGUAGGACACAAAGCUCCUGGCCUGCACGAGCCUAAACUGCAUGGCACAACGCUCCUGGUCUGCACGAGCAUAAAAGGCAAUACCAACGCUCCUUGUCUGCACGAGUUGAAACUGCAAACGACACCAACACUCCUUGCCUGCAUGAGUUGAAACUGCAAACGGCACAAAAAAGAAAAUACCAAAAAAAUAUAUGUAUGUAUUUGAACUACGUUUUGACUUGAUCUCUUUCUUUGGAAGGGUACGUAGGCAGCUUGAAUAUUCAAUUUCAAGUUCAGUCACAUCAAAAAAAAAAAAAAAAAAUUUAAAAAAAAAAUGUUUUAUUAAAUAUAGUCAAUUUUAUUACAGAAAAAAAAAUACAUAUGUUUUAUGUAUUAAAAAAAAAAUAAUAAUAAUAAUACAGAUUCCUUUUGUAUACAUACAUAUAUAUAUAUAUAUAUAUAUAUGUAUAUAUGACCUCUAUCCAGCCCAUCAAAAAGGGGUCGUCUAAACUCAAAAGGAAGCUAUCCAGGCCCAAGUGACAGCCUCCAAGCCCAGGCUUCCCUCUCAACAACACCAGGCCCACCGGUGCUCUUCCUCAAACAGGCCCCGAAGACCUUGAAGCCAAGCCCACCGUGAUGGUGUUCAUCACCGAUGCCAUCUGCUCCAUUCUCCUCAUACAAUUCUUGGUCGGAAUAAAGGGCAAUAAUUUCCUCUUCUCUUUGAGACCACCAUCCGCUUCUCGUAUUAGUUCCCAAUUCUUCUUCCCCCGCAAACCCUAAUUUUGAAGCUCAGGAGCUCCAAUUUCCGCAGAUCAGGCGAGAUGUGCUGAGGGAGAACGCGAGGAAGAAGUUCGAGGAGGCCCGAUUCGAGAUGGAUCCGGAAGUUAUAACGCGACUACUCAUCGGCGAUCAUGAUGCGGUGCAGUCGGCGAUAGAUGAGCUCGCCGAGAAGCAGCGACAGCAAAUUCAACAGAAGCGCAGGAGACCCAGUCUGCGCUUGAGACGCUGAUGAAUGGCGACUGAGUGAUGACUGGAGAACCGGAGCAGAGGCCUACCUCGUCAAUUCAGAAGGGACACCAGAUCCAUUUCCUCUCUCUUUCUAGACACCCUUCGUGCUCUCCGCCUCGGCCUCGCCUCUGCCGUCGUGGUCUCGCCGCCAUCUCCGACAUCGCCAAAUAUUAAGACCACCUACACCUUGAACGCUGAAUCCAAACCCGAGAUUCCCAAAGUACGACAUGGCGGGCGGAGAAGAAGAGAUCCACUCGGAUGCCCCGGACGGCGACGACGGAGAUGGCGUGGCACUACCGGGCUCGUAUACCAGAUCUAUCAGAGUCUCUUUCCUUGUGUCCGUACGAAGAUUCGAGCACGCGCGAGAGCUUCUUCUUCUCAAUCACGACCGUCUAUCUCUUCAAAAUCACUCGGAAUACACAAUCGAUAUCUACCAAAUGGGAAAACCCAAUCCUGAUGAAAAGAUUCUCAGCUACAAUGAUGUUGUACUCAGACGAUCAGACUUGGAUAUCCUCAGUGGCCCGUAUUUUCUCAAUGAUCGACUCAUCGAGUUUUAUUUCAGUCACCUGUCAUCAUGCUCUGAGGAGAUAUUACUCAUUGCACCUUCAAUUGCAUUCUGGAUGAUGAAUGCGGUUGGUCAAGGCCUCCACGAGUUCCUGGUACUUCUUAAUUUGCCUGAUAAAAAACUGGUAAUCUUUCCAGUCAAUGACAAUGAGGAUGUGAGUGAAGCUGGAGGUGGAUCUCACUGGAGCCUACUUGCAUUUGAGAGAGAUUCUAACGUCUUUGUUCAUCAUGAUAGCAAUGGAGGGAUGAAUAGAAGGCACGCUAAAAAACUGUAUGAUGCGGUUGUUGACUUCAUGAGUGUCUCCAGUUCAGCAACUAAGCCCACUUAUCAAGAGUGUAGUGAUUCACCGCAAAAAGUAAACGGUUAUGAUUGUGGCUUGUUUGUGUUGGCUAUUGCAAGGGUUAUAUGCAGUUGGUACGGAAGUAAAGACAAAGGUGAGCAGACUUUGUGGUUCCAUGCUGUGCGCGAGCAGGUCACUCCAUCUGUUGUUGCUGCAAUGCGAAACGAAAUCCUGGAGCUGAUAAGAGGUCUCAUGCCCGUGAAGUGAAGUUUGCCUACAAAGUGAGAGUCGAUGAAGAAGAGAAGCAAGAUCCGCAAGCUCAAUCACACCUCCUAUGCGGCAUUCGACCCCGAGCUCGGCAGCAGCGGCGAGGACGGCGGCUUGUUGUCCUGAAAUGUGGAAACGGCAGCGUCAGGGUUCCAGUUGUGGGAUUCAACGAAGAAGAGGGCUUCUUGCUUCAAAGCAAAUAUGAUCUCGCAGGAGGAGCUGACGAUGGCAUCGUUUUGGGAAUUGGAUUCUUGAGCUUCGACUUCCAUGACGAUUAGGAUUGUUCAGUGCUCUCCGUCCAUGCUUUUCAUUGUUCUCUUCCUCUUCUACUAUUGUUGUAUGAUGAUGUUGUUGAGCCUGGAAGUUGCUGGCGAUGAACAAGGCCUUGAAGAGGAAAAGAUUGCUCCGGCGAUGAAGUUGUAACUCAGGUCGAGCGUUCUCAGGUUGCUUAACUGUCCCCUCCUUCUGCCUUCUCCUCCGUCUCUUGCCUCGCAGCUGCCACCAACUUCAAAGACCGCUGUCAAACGACUAGCCGGCCAAGAAGCUCUUCCUUAAACUCCAGCUUCUCCGUCCGUCUUCGUCCUUCCCUACAAAAUCCCUCAGCCAAGCAUCCUAAUUUAUACAAAAAAAAAAAAAAAAAAAAAAAAAAAAAGGGGUGG
rnacentral:lncRNA from 1 species